CUGAGGGGGGCUGCUCCUAGUACGAGAGGACCGGAGUGGACGCAUCACUGGUGUUCGGGUUGUCAUGCCAAUGGCACUGCCCGGUAGCUAAAUGCGGAAGAGAUAAGUGCUGAAAGCAUCUAAGCACGAAACUUGCCCCGAGAUGAGUUCUCCCUGACUCCUUGAGAGUCCUGAAGGAACGUUGAAGACGACGACGUUGAUAGGCCGGGUGUGUAAGCGCAGCGAUGCGUUGAGCUAACCGGUACUAAUGAACCGUGAGGCUUAACCUU
rnacentral:rRNA from 1 species